rnacentral:tRNA from 2 species
GAGCAGUCUGGUAGCUCGUCGGGCUCAUAACCCGAAGGUCGUCGGUUCAAAUCCGGCUCCCGCAACCA